GAGACAGGAUCUUGCUCUAUCACCCAGGCUGGAGUGCAAUGGUAUGAUCAUAGCUCACUGCAGCAUUGACCUCCCAGGCUCAAACAAUCCUCUCACCUCAGCUUCCAAGUAGCUAGGACCACAGGUGUGCACCACCAUGCCUGGUUAACUUUUGUAUUUUUUUGUAGGGAGGGAUCUUGCUGUGUUGCCCAGGCUGGUUUCAAACUCCUGGGCUCAAGUGAUCCUCCUGCCUCGACCUCCCAAGGUAUUGGGAUUACAGGCAUGAGUCACCGAGUUCUGCCAAUUUUUCUAUUAGUAAGCUCUGCCACCCUUUCUCAGGUGCUGUUCCACCCCAACAGCGGGGCAGCUGGAGAGUUUGGAGCCCUGCAGACUGUCCGCCUGGAGCGUUACAAGGCCUUCUACAUUACCGGUGGAGCCAGGGCGUGUGAUGGGAGCACCGGGCCUGAGCUGCAGCAUAAGUUUCCUCUGAUUUUCAACCUGGAAGACGAUACCGCAGAAGCUGUGCCCCUAGAAAGAGGUGGUGCGGAGUACCAGGCUGUGCUGCCCGAGGUCAGAAAGGUUCUUGCAGACGUCCUCCAGGACAUUGCCAACGACAACAUCUCCAGCGCAGAUUACACUCAGGACCCUUCAGUAACUCCCUGCUGUAAUCCCUACCAAAUUGCCUGCCGCUGUCAAGCCGCAUAACAGACCAAUUUUUAUUCCACGAGGAGGAGUAUCUGGAAAUUAGGCAAGUUUGCUUCCAAAUUUCAUUUUUACCCUCUUUACAAACACACGCUUUAGUUUAGUCUUGG
rnacentral:sRNA from 1 species